CCUCAAAUUUGUAGAGAAGACAGCUCCUAUUGCAGUCUACACAUCUGGAAAAGGUUCCUCUGCUGGUGGUCUCAUCACAUUUGUAACGCGGGAUAGUAGCUCGGUAGGUUUCAGUGUCCCACACCGAGAUCUAGUCCGUUUCUCUAUAUAGAAUUUAUGCUGCAAAUACAAAGUACUACUACCUGAGCAAGAACAGACCCCCUUGACAUCACCACCAUCGCCGCCGCGGAGCUGAAGGACUAUCAAGUCGUGUUUUAGGCUGCUCAGGAGUGUCUGGGAGCAGCAUGUCGAUGAGCUGCAAGUGGGGUUUGAGUGUUCACAACAACAUUGGGAGAAAAAACACACUUCCUGCCGUAGAAGCUCCGGCAGCCCUCUGUGUUCAUAUGUCCAUUCUGCCGCCCUUCCGAAUUUUGUGUCUAUAUGUGGAGCACUUUAAAGUCUACUGCUAAGGAACAAUUAUAUAUAUAUAUAUAUAUAUAUAUAUAUA